CCAACCGGCACGCCGGGAUUUGGGGAUAAAGCGCGGCCCCGCGAGCAGUUGCGGCGGGAGAGCGGCGGGGCCCAGAGCGUGACUCGCCCGCUUCGCGCUGCCUCUUCCGCCUCCGCGUCUCGCUGCCGUCCCCGCGCAGCCAUGUCCGAGGAGAAGCCCAAGGAGGGUGUGAAGACGGAGAAUGACCACAUCAACCUGAAGGUGGCGGGGCAGGAUGGCUCCGUGGUGCAGUUCAAGAUCAAGAGGCACACCCCACUGAGCAAGCUGAUGAAGGCCUACUGCGAGAGGCAGGGCUUGUCAAUGAGACAGAUUAGAUUCAGGUUUGAUGGGCAGCCAAUUAACGAAACAGACACUCCAGCCCAGGGCCAUUGGUGGGACUGCCAGGACCCCUGCCGUGGCUCUGUGGACUCCUAGCUUGUGGUUGCAGUCAGUCAGUGGCUAGACGUGGGCCUGAUUCCUGUCUCCUGUGGCAUCUUGUGUGAGUGCUGCGGGUGGGCAGGGUGCCCGUCAUGUCCUGUGCCAUCGGAAGUGCAGCUGGAGAUGGAGGAUGAGGACACCAUCGACGUGUUCCAGCAGCAGACGGGAGGCCUGGCCUCCAGAGGGACCACCCCACACCCUGCCAGCGUCCUUGCAUUUCUUAUUGAAUGGUGAGCGACCACGCUGAUCACAGAGGAGUCCGAGAAAGACAAGGACAGUCACCGAAACGAUCCUUGAAGCACUUCAAGUGCAGCUCAAAACUCUGCAGGGAUGAGUCUACAGCUUACAUUGGGCCAAUCACAUUGUUCUCUUUGUGAAAUGAGUUUUAAGGUUUUGGGUUUGUUUUUGUUCUCGGUUUUGUUCAUCGCCCCUCUCAAAACAUGUUUUCCUUCAAACCUGUGGCCAAAUGUUGGCGUUCAGUCUGUGGCCAGGCUCUCAGCCCUGGAGAAGUGGUCACUGCUGGAGCUACCUGUCCGAAUCACGUGGAGAGCUCAUGUUCACACUGUGCGUCUGUGGGAGAGUGUGAGGGGUGGAAUUCCUCCAGGCGCAUUAUUAAAAUUCUAAAAGCUGCAAAUGACAGACUUCAUCAAGCAUAUGGUAUAGCUGGAGGCAAAAUACUGGAACGCUUCUUCAAAGGUAAAAAACAAAAUAAGUCCUUCAGUAAUAAGGCCCAAGUGCUUUCUGCUCCUGAGUGUGUCCCCUCUGGGUCUGAGGCCCAGGAUGCCACCUCUGCACUCGGUGCCUGGGUGUGGGUAUGUGGGCAAUGAUUGGCACGACCAAAGCCAGCUUUUAUCCUUUCAAAACCAGGAAAUAAUUACCAUGUUUCUCAUUUGGUAAUUGUAUUGUGGCCUCAGAUUUACUUCUAACAGAUAAUUAUGGUCUUUAUAUAAAGUAAGAUGAAAUAUCACUGAAUUUGCAGUUAUGUUGUAUAAAAGAGCUGCUUCAAAGUGUGGUUGCAAAAGAAACCCACAGAAAGGUGACUUAGUGUUCUUAUGGAUUUUUACUUUGCCACUGUCCAAAUAAGUAUCGAAAUUAUGCAUUAGAACAGUGACUCCAGUUCUGUGAGAUAUUUGGGAAUCUUUACCAAUUAAAAUGUUCAUAGUUCUGCCUAUCGUCCUGUAAGGAUCCAUUGCUGCUUGAUGGCCAUUCUCUGCCUUUUAUAGUCACCUGACAGUGACCCAUCACCUCGCUUGCUUGAGAUCUUGCAGAAAUGUCCUCAUUUCCUGUUUUGCUGUAUGGGCUCUGGUGGGAUGUUGUUGGCUCUGUUGUUUGUUCACCAAUUUGUACAUUAUGUUACCCUUUACUACUGUAAACAGUAAAGAUAGUUUGGUA